GGCGCUGCUAAUGUAACUUUCCCGCUUAAAAUUAGCGUUCGGUGGCGUAUGUGCUACGUCUCGUCUGUAGCUAGCGUUAGCUCUCCGGCUAAUUUCGUGCACUGUUUCGUGUGCUUUGCUACUCUGGCCCAAAGACUUCAACUGCUGCUGGGCUAAUUCGUGCGAACGAGCUAUGUCUGGCUUUCUCCAGCGUCAGGUCAGCUCCCUGGCAUAAAAGUUUUUCCCUUACCCGGGUCGAGUUGGUGGCGAACACGAUGCGGUCCCUGACCAUUUCAUCACUAAAGUCAUUAGGGUAUACACAGUCUUUCACCAGUAGCUUCAACUCCGUUAUAAAUUGUUCAAAAGACUCACUUUCUCCUUGCAUCUUUUCGUUGAAACGGUACCUCGCAUAGAUGGGGUUGGCUUUCGGUGUGAUGUAUGCCUUGUAUCUAUUGUAGUACGUGUCCAGCUUCUUGCCCUGAUCCUCGGUGAUUGUCCAAGUGUUGUAGACAUCGCGCCCUUUUUCUCCUAUCACAGCAGGAGGUAGCUGCACUUCUCUUCCUCGGUCUUCCUACGCAGGGGUCCCUUGAACAUUAGCUCCGUCGUCUGCUGAAACCGUCGCCAUGCCUCAGGUAAGUUGCUAGCUUCCCAAUCCAUCCUUGGAACUGCCACGCCAUAUGCAUCCAUUAUGUUUUCUUUUUUUUUUUCUUUACGCGGUAAGUACUUUAUCCUCUAUGUCUGACACCAUGUAAUGUUUUGCCCUCUGGCAUACAUAAACUUAACCUAUAUACUUUAGUAUAAACUCAGGCUGACGACCGACUUCAUUUCGUGCUGGUUUAUUCACCGGGGUUUUUCCAACUGCCGUCAAUACGUCAUUCCUGAACGUACACCUUGGGCUACGGUGUGCACCGUGUGACAAACAGUCACAACAGAUAUUACACUGAUGUGUCAACAUGCUUUGGAGAAUAAGCUGAACUUAAAAUGUGUCAUUAGUAGAAAGCUGGGCGACGCACAGGGUUUCACUGAUCUCUCAAAGGGGCUUCCUUCUCCUCGAAGAUCUCUGCACAUGGAUCUCCCGCCUGGAAGUUUACAGAUUUGACGACGUUCAAGCGUGGAAAAGUAAGUAUUACUAGUGUUGAGUGUCGUUUUGACAAUUUUAUCUUAGUUAUCAAGUGUUUUUGAAGAACUGAAUGAUUUUCACAAAACGCAUUUUGGCUAAAAUAUUAUUUCUUCAGAUGUGCUAGUUCGAAUAGCUCCGUCUGCUUUUGCAACGCCUCAAUGUCAACGUCGCACCAUGCUUCGGUCAAUAUAGCUUUUUCCACAAUUUACCGUCGUUAAACAAUUCUUUU
ensembl:lncRNA